CUUGGUGUCCUCUCUUCCCACAGGGCCGUGUAGAAAGAGACCAAGCUCAGAUGGGUGAGCCUUCCUGAGCGCUUGGUCUGGCUGCCUCCUUGGAGACAACAGCCCCUCUCCUAGGCAGGAGAAAUCAAUGGAGAGUGUGGUCUCACCGCACUCACAGGAAAGGGAUGACACUGUGGAAGACUGCAUGGACACUGGGAAAGCCAUUAAGGCGGUGUUGGUGGUGUGGAGACACCAGUGUUGGGACCUUGGUGCUGGGCAGGGCAAGUUUCCCCAGAGAUUCCUCCCUGUGGAGAGACACCCCUUCCUUCAGAGCCCUUCUCCAACGGAAGCUGGUCCUUGGCACCUACCUCUCCUGGAAGACUCGGUUGCUGUCCCAUCUAGAGAUCAUCCUAGAGGAGGCCCAGGCUCCCGGCUUCUGAGACUGCAUCAGAAGCUGGAUCUCUCUCAGCCAACCACAGCUGGCUGUGUCCCUCCUGUGCCUUCAGAUCUUGCGCUGGGUGCUUUCUUCUGAGUUUCUUGUUGGAGGCCACCCUGAGUCCUUGUGUCCCUCUAGGCCUGGACCCUUGGAAGCUCACGUUCUCUCUCCUAUUGCACAAUGUCACUUGCGACUCGGUUGCAUUCCUUUAUUCUUGGUGUGACACACGGGGGGACUGUCCCCAGCUAGGGCCAGUGUUAGUCCCAGGUGUCCACCAGGGUCACAGUGACUUCUGACUCUAGUUUGUCCACACUGAGCUCUGGUUGUGAGCUCUCCCCCUGCCUCAGUGGAGUGCUCUGGGUCCCGGCUACCUCCAUCAGUCUUAUCCCUGAGAGUUGCACUCUAAGGUACCCGUGGGACUCCCUUUCAGUGAACUGUUCAGUCUUUGUUGCCUCUGCAUGGAUCUCCUUGGCCUCUGUGGCAUUGACUGGAACUUAGCUUUGCUCUCUAGCUGACCAUAAUUAGUGCUUGCAAGUCCCCACAUGCCUUACCUCCCUUAAAUCUAUGAGAUGAAAUGAGAUAAAUGAGAGAUGGCGUUCUCAUCAGAUGGUGUGUCAAUGUUACUGAGACCCACUGUCCAGAGGGGAAACUGAGGCCUGGUAUGGAGAGAUUGCCUAAACCCACAAGCCAGUGUGGGGAGUAAUGAUGGUUUUAAAAACUCAAUAUUUUUUGGAGACAGGGUUUCACUAUAUAGCUUUGGGUGUCUUUUAGACCAGACUGACUUUUAAUUCACAGAGAUCACCCAUCUAUGUCUCCUACGUGCUGGGAUUAAAGAAGUGCACCACCAUGGCCUGCUUUAUACAAAUAUUUUAAUUCUGUCUGUCUGUCUCUGAGACAGGGUCUUUUAUGUAGCCCUGGCUAGCCUGGUUCUCACAGAGAUCUACUUCUGCCUCCUGACUGCUAGUAUUAAAAGCAUUCACCACUGUGCCCAGCACAGGGGUUCUUUUUUUUAAAUUAAUAUUUUUAUUUAUGCUUUGAGAAUUUUAUACUUGUGUACAAUGCAUUUUGAUAAAUUUCACUCCCCACUCUUUCUGACUCCCUUCUGGAUUUAUCCCGCAUACCCUUGCCGACUUCAUCUCUCUCUCUCUCUCUCUCUCUCUCUCUCUCUCUCCUCUCUCUCUCUCUCUCUCUCUCUGUGCCUGUCUGUCUGUCUUUCUCUUUCUUCCUUUCUAAUAAUCCACUGAAUCCAGUUAGCGCUGCCAAUAUUCGCACCUUGUGUGAGCCACCCACAGGAGUGUGGUCAAACCGCUGGUGGCCACACCCCUAAGGAAACUGCCUCUUCCUCCCCCAGCACCCAUUGACUCUCAAUAAAUAGCUCCUCCACUUGAGGUAGGGGCUUGUGUGACCCUACUCCAUCCACGCUGGGCUGUCGCCGGCCUUGGUCUCAGGCAGGCGCUCACAGCUGCUGUGAGUUCCAGUACUUUCAGUAGAUACUGCAGCCCACCCCUCCAUCCCCUUCCUUCUUGAUCUCUGGCUCUGAGUGUUCCCUCUCCUUUUCCUGGAUGUCCCCUGAACCUUGUAGGGACACAGUGUCACACUUGUGACUGAGUACUCAAGUCACAGUCUAGGCUGGCCUCCUGCUUCUGCCCAUCCAGGGCAUCCUAACAGCACUUAGCAUCAUAAUCUGGCUGUCCCCAACAACUCGGAUAAGGUCUUAUAUAUGUCAGGCUGGCUUUAAACUAGUAAAUAACCGAAAAUCAUCUUGAA